UCUGAAAUUAUCAUACUAUUUUUUUUUCUUUUAGAUAUUUUCAUAAUAUCAGCUGUAAAAUUUCUUGUAGGAUAUUCAGCAGCUUAUAAUAAUAGUAUAAAUAUAAUUAUUUGUUAAAUAAAAAUAGUUUCAACCAUUAACAAAUUAACAAGUAUUCCCAAAAUUUCUUUCCACUCAGAAACCUCUCUGGUAAAGGAGCGUCUCCGAUCUCCCCUCUUGUUCUCACUUAUUAUAUUUCUCUUUCAUAUUUUUCUAAUUUUUUUAAUGAUCAUAGUUCAUCCCUUUCAUAAAAGAUCAUUUUAUAAAAAGAAAUUGUUUUAAAAAUAUAGUUUUAUAUUUUCAGUAUAAUAUUGUUAACUAAUAAUAAUUAAUUAUGGACUUCAAAAAAUUAAUUAUUGUUGCUAAAUUUUUGUUAGUUUAUAUUUAUAGAAAAUAGAUAAUCCUAAAAUAUGUUUGUAAUUGAAAUUUAAUAUAUUUAUUAACAUGUGUUAGAUAUGCAUCAUUUUGAAACAAAGAGAAUACGAUAGAUUAAAAUAUCAGAUUUCCCUCU
rnacentral:lncRNA from 1 species